rnacentral:rRNA from 1 species
CCUACGGGUGGCCGCAGUGGGGAAUAUUGCACAAUGGGGGAAACCCUGAUGCAGCGACGCCGCGUGAAGGAAGAAGUAUUUCGGUAUGUAAACUUCUAUCAGCAGGGAAGAAAAUGACGGUACCUGACUAAGAAGCCCCGGCUAACUACGUGCCAGCAGCCGCGGUAAUACGUCGGGGGCAAGCGUUAUCCGGCUUUGCUGGGUGUAAAGGGAGCGUAGGCGGUUUAGCAAGUCAGAAGUGAAAGCCCGGGGCUCAACUCCGGGACUGCGAUUGAAACUGUUGAACUAGAGUGCAGGAGAGGUAAGUGGAAUUCCUAGUGUAGCGGGGAAAUGCGUAGAUAUUAGGAGGAACACCAGUGGCGAAGGCGGCUUACUGGACUGUAAAUGACGCUGAGGCUCGAAAGCGUGGGGAGCAAACAGGAUUAGAUACCCGUGUAGUC